UGGGCUGUAGCGCAGCGGGUUAAGCGCAGGUGGUGCAAAGCACAAGGACCAGGUUCAAACCCUGGCUCCCCAC
rnacentral:tRNA from 1 species